rnacentral:rRNA from 1 species
GACGAACGCUGGUGGCGUGCCUAAUACAUGCAAGUCGAGCGGACCAAUAGAAGCUUGCUUCUGUUGGUUAGCGGCGGACGGGUGAGUAACACGUGGGCAACCUGCCUGUAAGACUGGGAUAACUUCGGGAAACCGGAGCUAAUACCGGAUAAUUCAUCCCCUCGCAUGAGGGGAUGCUGAAAGUCGGUUUACGCUGACACUUACAGAUGGGCCCGCGGCGCAUUAGCUAGUUGGUGAGGUAAUGGCUCACCAAGGCGACGAUGCGUAGCCGACCUGGGGGGGUGAUCGGCAACACUGGGACUGAGACACGGCCCAGACUCCUACGGGAGGCAGCAGUAGGGAAUCUUCCACAAUGGACGAAAGUCUGAUGGAGCAACGCCGCGUGAGCGAUGAAGGCCUUCGGGUCGUAAAGCUCUGUUGUUAGGGAAGAACAAGUAUCGGAGUAACUGCCGGUACCUUGACGGUACCUAACCAGAAAGCCACGGCUAACUACGUGCCAGCAGCCGCCGUAA